rnacentral:rRNA from 1 species
GACGAACGCUGGCGGCGUGCCUAACACAUGCAAGUCGAGCGAGUGAAUCUCCUUCGGGAGUGAAGCUAGCGGCGGACGGGUGAGUAACACGUGGGCAACCUGCCUCAUAGAGGGGAAUAGCCUUCCGAAAGGAAGAUUAAUACCGCAUAAGAUUGUAGCUUCGCAUGAAGUAGCAAUUAAAGGAGCAAUCCGCUAUGAGAUGGGCCCGCGGCGCAUUAGCUAGUUGGUGAGGUAACGGCUCACCAAGGCGACGAUGCGUAGCCGACCUGAGAGGGUGAUCGGCCACAUUGGGACUGAGACACGGCCCAGACUCCUACGGGAGGCAGCAGUGGGGAAUAUUGCACAAUGGGGGAAACCCUGAUGCAGCAACGCCGCGUGAGUGAUGACGGCCUUCGGGUUGUAAAGCUCUGUCUUCAGGGACGAUAAUGACGGUACCUGAGG